rnacentral:rRNA from 1 species
GACGAACGCUGGCGGCGUGCUUAACACAUGCAAGUCGAACGGAAAGGCCCUGCUUGCAGGGUACUCGAGUGGCGAACGGGUGAGUAACGCGUGGGUGAUCUGCCCUGCACUUCGGGAUAAGCCUGGGAAACUGGGUCUAAUACCGGAUAGGAGCCAUUUUUAGUGUGAUGGUUGGAAAGUUUUUUCGGUGUAGGAUGAGCUCGCGGCCUAUCAGCUUGUUGGUGGGGUAAUGGCCUACCAAGGCGGCGACGGGUAGCCGGCCUGAGAGGGUGGACGGCCACAGUGGGACUGAGAGACGGCCCAGACUCCGACGGGAGGCAGCAGUGGGGAAUAUUGCACAAUGGGCGCAAGCCUGAUGCAGCGACGCCGCGGGGGGGAUGACGGCCUUCGGGUUGUAAACUCCUUUCGCUAGGGACGAAGCUUUUUGUGACGGUACCUAGAUAAGAAGCACCGGCUAACUACGUG